rnacentral:misc_RNA from 1 species
AACGCACAUUGCACUCUGUUUCGGCAGAGUAUGCCUGUUUGAGAAUCUUAUGUAUCAUUUUUACCAGUCAAUUGACUUUACUUGAUUUCGGUCUUGUUUUGUGUGAAUGUCUGGCGAAAGUUGUGAGCUUUCGGGUUGCCCUAGGUGACGCGUUGCUUGAAAUUUAUUGCCGGCUAGCUUACAGGUGAUGAUUCCUCGUUACCCGUGAAGCCUGUACGUAUUUGAAUAGAACCUCGGUUCUUCCCCUAGACGCACUUGUUUCUACGGUGAAUUGAAGAUAGCUUGCUGCUUGCUUGGUCCAUACCCUAAAAGUCUUUGACUUGAACCAUGGUCUCAAAUCAGGUAGGAAUACCCGCUGAACUUAA